GAUGAACGCUGGCGGCGUGCCUAAUACAUGCAAGUCGAGCGAACAGACGAGGAGCUUGCUCCUCUGACGUUAGCGGCGGACGGGUGAGUAACACGUGGAUAACCUACCUAUAAGACUGGGAUAACUUCGGGAAACCGGAGCUAAUACCGGAUAAUAUAUUGAACCGCAUGGUUCAAUAGUGAAAGACGGUUUUGCUGUCACUUAUAGAUGGAUCCGCGCCGCAUUAGCUAGUUGGUAAGGUAACGGCUUACCAAGGCAACGAUGCGUAGCCGACCUGAGAGGGUGAUCGGCCACACUGGAACUGAGACACGGUCCAGACUCCUACGGGAGGCAGCAGUAGGGAAUCUUCCGCAAUGGGCGAAAGCUUGACGGAGCAACGCCGCGUGAGUGAUGAAGGUCUUCGGAUCGUAAAACUCUGUUAUUAGGGAAGAACAAAUGUGUAAGUAACUAUGCACGUCUUGACGGUACCUAAUCAGAAAGCCACGGCUAACUACGUGCCAGCAGCCGCGGUAAUACGUAGGUGGCAAGCGUUAUCCGGAAUUAUUGGGCGUAAAGCGCGCGUAGGCGGUUUUUUAAGUCUGAUGUGAAAGCCCACGGCUCAACCGUGGAGGGUCAUUGGAAACUGGAAAACUUGAGUGCAGAAGAGGAAAGUGGAAUUCCAUGUGUAGCGGUGAAAUGCGCAGAGAUAUGGAGGAACACCAGUGGCGAAGGCGACUUUCUGGUCUGUAACUGACGCUGAUGUGCGAAAGCGUGGGGAUCAAACAGG
rnacentral:rRNA from 1 species